rnacentral:rRNA from 1 species
CAGUAGCCGCGGUAAAACGAAGGGUGCAAGCGUUAAUCGGAAUUACUGGGCGUAAAGCGUGCGUAGGUGGUGGUUUAAGUCCGUUGUGAAAGCCCUGGGCUCAACCUGGGAAUUGCAGUGGAUACUGGGUCACUAGAGUGUGGUAGAGGAUAGUGGAAUUUCCGGUGUAGCAGUGAAGUGCGUAGAGAUCGGAAGGAACAUCUGUGGCGAAGGCGACUAUCUGGGCCAACACUGACACUGAGGCACGAAAGCGUGGGGAGCAAACAGGAUUAGAUACCCCAGUAGUCCCUGUCUCUUAUAC